UACGGGGGGAGCAAGCGUUGUUCGGAUUUACUGGGCGUAAAGGGCGCGUAGGCGGCGCAACAAGUCACUUGUGAAAUCUCCGGGCUUAACCCGGAGCGGUCAAGUGAUACUGUCGUGCUAGAGUGCGGAAGAGGCGAAGUGGAAUUCCGUGGUGUAGCGGUGAAAUGCGCAGAUAUCAGGAGGAACACCGGUGGCGAAGGCGGGUCUCUGGGCCGAUACUGACGCUGAGGAGCGAAAGCGUGGGGAGCGAACAGG
rnacentral:rRNA from 1 species